GACAGAGGCCUCAAGCGUUAGGCGGAAUCACUGGGCUUAAAGCGUGUGUAGGCGGAUCGUUAAGUGUCUUGUGAAAUCCCACGGCUCACCCGUGGAACUGCUGGGCAUACUGGCGAUCUUGGGCCAACUAGGGGCAGCCGGAACAAGCGGUGGAGCGGUGAAAUGCGUAGAUAUCGCUUGGAACGCCGAAGGUGAAAACAGGCUGCUGGGGUUGUGCCGACGC
rnacentral:rRNA from 1 species